UACGGAAGGCAGCAGUGGGGAAUAUUGCACAAUGGGCGCAAGCCUGAUGCAGCCAUGCCGCGUGUAUGAAGAAGGCCUUCGGGUUGUAAAGUACUUUCAGUCGUGAGGAAGGUGUUAAGGUUAAUAACCUUAGCAAUUGACGUUAGCGACAGAAGAAGCACCGGCUAACUCCGUGCCAGCAGCCGCGGUAAUACGGAGGGUGCGAGCGUUAAUCGGAAUUACUGGGCGUAAAGGGCACGCAGGCGGUUAAUUAAGUUGGAUGUGAAAUCCCCGGGCUUAACCUGGGAAUGGCAUUCAAGACUGGUUAGCUAGAGUCUUGUAGAGGGGGUAGAAUUCCAUGUGUAGCGGUGAAAUGCGUAGAGAUGUGGAGGAAUACCGGUGGCGAAGGCGGCCCCUGGGACAAAGACUGACGCUCAUGUGCGAAAGCGUGGGGAGCAAACAGGAUAGAUACC
rnacentral:rRNA from 1 species